rnacentral:rRNA from 1 species
UACGUAGGUGGCGAGCGUUGUCCGGAUUUAUUGGGCGUAAAGCGCGCGCAGGCGGUGCUUUAAGUUCGGUGUGAAAGCUCCCGGCUCAACUGGGAGAGGGCACUGGAGACUGGAGCGCUGGAGGCGGGCAGAGGCUGGUGGAAUUCCCGGUGUAGUGGUGAAAUGCGUAGAUAUCGGGAGGAACACCCAUGGCGAAGGCAGCCAGCUGGGCCUGACCUGACGCUGAGGCGCGAAAGCGUGGGGAGCGAACCGGAUUAGAAACCCCCGUAGUCC